rnacentral:rRNA from 1 species
UACGUAGGGUGCGAGCGUUAAUCGGAAUACUGGGCGUAAAGCGUGCGCAGGCGGUGAUGUAAGACAGUUGUGAAAUCCCCGGGCUCAACCUGGGAACUGCAUCUGUGACUGCAUCGCUGGAGUGCGGCAGAGGGGGAUGGAAUUCCGCGUGUAGCAGUGAAAUGCGUAGAUAUGCGGAGGAACACCGAUGGCGAAGGCAAUCCCCUGGGCCUGCACU